rnacentral:rRNA from 1 species
AUUGAACGCUGGCGGCAGGCCUAACACAUGCAAGUCGAGCGGAGCGGCGGAAGGGUGAGUAAUGCCUAGGAAUCUGCAUGGUGGUGGGGGAUAAAUUCGGGAAACGGGCGCUAAUACCGCAUAAUAUCAGAUGAGCCUAGGUCGGAUUAGCUAGUUGGUGGGGUAAAGGCCUACCAAGGCGACGAUCCGUAACUGGUCUGAGAGGAUGAUCAGGCAAACGGGAACUGAGACCCGGUCAAGACUCCUACGGGAGGCAGCAGUGGGGAAUAUGGGACAAUGGGAGAAAGCCUGAUCCAGCCAUGCCGCGUGUGUGAAGAAGGUCUUCGGAUUGUAAAGCUCUUUAGGUUGGGAGGCGUUACCAACAGAGUAAGCACCGGCUAACUUCGUGCCAGCAGCCGCGGUAAUAC